rnacentral:lncRNA from 1 species
AUAUAUGGGUUUAGUCCUUUUAAUAUGAUUUUAAAAUUUGAUUAAAAUAUUUAAAUUAAGAUCGACUUAUUAUUUCUGUGUUUGUUGGGAUAAAAUUUCAAUAAAAACUUUCUCAUUGAUGCCUCGCAAAUAUUAUAACUUUUAGAUAGAGACAAAACUAACACAUGACAGUGCGUUAGAUAUGAACUCAGUUGGAAUUGGAAAGCAACUAAGCUUCAAACUUUAUAUCUUAGGCAUAAACUAUUAAGCUCUCAGUAAAUUUGGUCUAUCGUUCAGGACAUAAAGUUGUCUACAUU